rnacentral:lncRNA from 1 species
UUGAUCCAAUUGGCACGAUUAUAUAACAGGAACACAAACGUACAAUGAAGUAACGGAAAGUGUCUCUUGGAAAGCAGGGAUACAAAAAGAGAGGCAGACAAGAGACACUAAUUGUAGGGCUCAAAUAAACUAUAUCUCAAACUAAAACUGCAUACUAAUCAACUCUUCAGCUCAAACUUAUCUCUUAUACCUGCACAGAAGUAAGUAAGAGGAACGAGUUAAUUGACUAAGCAAAAUCUCUAACUGUGACACUAACCAAAUCUACAACUGUGACACAAGAACAAUUUGGAAAUUGUGGAGUAUUUAUAUUCAGCAAAAAUUUCACACAGUAAAACUCAAAUUCAAAGUCUUUUCUAAAACAUAUAUCUCAAAGUCAUACCUCAAAUACAAAAAAUAACAUACUUCGACCUAUGUAAGAUCACAUUUGAUAUCUCAGUCUGUUCCUAACAUGAUAUUAUCGUCUCUAUCCAAUAUAUUUUCACGUCUUCCAGAAUCAAACACCAUCACCUUUUAUACACUUCGUAAGUAUAUACUACAAUUUCUAUAAUUGAUUUAGUUUCGCUACGAAAAUUGAACCCGUUAACUUGCACAAUUAAAUAAUCACAGGAGGAUAUUAUGAGUCAGAAAGUAUGCCGCUUUCCUAAUCUGGCAACUCUUUUAAUUUCGACAUGUCACAUGGCAUAUUUAAGAUCACAACAUUAAAAAGCAUUUUGGUACAUUAUACAUAUCUUUAGUUUAAGACCACAAGAUUCAAAAGUCUUCUUUAUUUUCUUCUUAGACCCCAUGCCAUGUCAAACAAAGACAAACAAAUUAAAACAGAGGGAGUACCAAUUUAGGACAGACGAAGAAUUAAGUAAGUUAAUAAUAAACAUUGGAUAAAAUAAAAGAAAAAUAAAGAACAAAUGUAAAAUAAGGAUGGAAUUUACUAACCUCAAAAGCUUCAGGCAUGCAGA